UUUCCGUAGGUGAACCUGCGGAAGGAUCAUUAUUGUAUAACCGAGGAUCGAGGGCUGUCGCUGACCCGAAAUGUCGUGCACGCCAUAGUGUCCUCACACACAUCCAUCUGACCCCUAUGUACACCACCGCGUGUGUCCUCCUCUGGCUUUUUCGGAGGGGUGCUUACGUUUACACACAAACUUUGUAUACAGUGUAGAAUGUAUUUUUUGUUUUUGCGAUCACGCAAUCAAUACAACUUUCAACAACGGAUCUCUUGGCUCUC
rnacentral:misc_RNA from 1 species